AGGACGAACGCUGGCGGCGUGCUUAACACAUGCAAGUGGAGCGACGAACCAGGCUUCGGCCUGGGGCAGAGCCGCGAACGGGUGAGUAACACGUGGGUAACCUGCCCUGAUGAUUGGGACAACCCGAGGAAACUCGGGCUAAUACCAAAUGUGCCCUUUGACCGCAAGGCCACUGGGGAAAGGAGCUUCGGCCUCCGCAUUGGGAUGGGCCCGCGGCCCAUUAGCUUGUUGGUGAGGUAACGGCUCACCAAGGCGACGAUGGGUAGC
rnacentral:rRNA from 1 species